CAGAGUUGAAAAACUCCCUAACCCUUUGUUUACAUACCUGUUCAGUUGCUUCGGCAGGCGGCCCCAGGGCGGGGCCUCCAGCCUGCUCACGCAGGUGCCUGCCGCUGGCGCAAAAAAAACUCUGUUAUAUAUUACCACUCUGAGUCUAAAAACAAAUGAAUCA
rnacentral:misc_RNA from 1 species